rnacentral:lncRNA from 1 species
GAGGAGUUAGAUCACCGAAGGCCUCGGAGGAGAGGAGGAAGAAUUGAAGCCCGGGGAUAGAAAUUGGGAGGUGGAUAGGAGAAGAGGGACCUAGCCAUAGUGAAGAGGGGAGUGAACCCGAGGAAGAUCCAUUCCAUGACCGAAGGCCUAUAGGCCGGAGGAACUUCAUGGAAGGGAGAAGGAGGAAUGAAGACUAUGAUGAAGAUGAUGCUAGGGGCCCAAGACAUCAAGAUAG